CCCCUAGAUGUUCUGGGCCGCACGCGCGCUACACUGAACAGUUCAACAAGUGUUAACCUUGGCCGAUAGGUCUGGGUAAUCUUUGAACGCUGUUCGUGAUUGGGAUAGACCUUUGCAAUUAUGGGUCUUCAACGAGGAAUUCCUAGUAAACGCAAGUCAUCAGCUUGCAUUGAUUACGUCCCUGCCCUUUGUACACACCGCCCGUCGCACCUACCGAUUGAAUGGUCCGGUGAAAUCUCGGGACGGCGGCUUGGUCGCUUGCGUCCGACUGCUGAAACUUGAUUAAACCAUAUCAUUUAGAGGAAGGUGAANUCGUAACA
rnacentral:rRNA from 1 species